AGUGAGGUCUCUAUUUUUACUACCCAUUGAAGAUGAGAGAAGCGAGGCUGAGGUGGUUCGGGCAUGUGCGGAGGAGAAGUCCUGAUGCCCCAAUGAAAAGGAAAAAUGCUAUAGAUAUGUGUUUGUGUAUAUACAUGACACCUAGAAACACAUAGAAGAACCUCACUAGCAUCUUUUUAGAAAAUUUCAUUUAUAGCAAAGGGUUACAUAUUAGAAGUAGAGGAAAAAUAAGAAAAGGGGUAUCAAAUAGCUCACCAUGGGAGGAUAAUUCUCUUCCUCUUACUCACUCACUCUUCUAUUUUAUUAGCUCAAAUCAGUUCAGCACCAACUUGUGUUUUGAGAGGGUUUUCCAUAUAAGGUUUGUGACAAAAGCUUCUUAAAUUCAAUCCUUUCCUAAUCUUUUUUGUUUGUCCUUAUGUUUAAUUUUUUUGUUUGGGGUGGAAUUUUACAAAUAGCUCAAGAAUUUAGCCCAAAAGAAAGAUGGCUGCAGGGCCUUCAUCAGCUGUGUUUCUUGCAAUGAGAGAAGAAGAACAAAACCAACAGAUGAAACAACAACACGAACUUCUCAUUCAGCAGCAACCACAACAACAGCAAGCACCACAAAAGAAGAGAAGAAAUCAGCCUGGCACACCAAGCAAGUACCUUAUAACAGUUUUAUUUAUAAAAAGAAAAACAUAAAAAAAUAGAAAAGGAGAGCUUGAAUUCUCCUUUUUGCAUCCAAAAAUCAAAGAGAAAAGGUGAUUUCAUGUAAAUUCAACAUUAUUAGGAAGGAAAACCCUAAUUAGUUUUGAAAGGGAAAAAAAGAGCACCUACACAUUUUAAUCUAAUAUUAAUCUUUAUAUGUUUUUGUUUUUAUUGUUCCUUUACUUCACUGUGCCGAGGGUCGAUUGGAAACAGCCUCUCUGCCCUUUCGGGUAGGGGUAAGGUCCGUCUACAUAUUAC
rnacentral:lncRNA from 1 species